CUCACAGCAUGUGGAUGUUCCUGGGCCAGCAAUCAAACUCAUGCCAUAGCAGUGAUCCAAGCCACUGCUGUGACAACGCCAGAUCCUUAACCUGCUGGGCCACAAGAGAACACGGGUACUGGCUUUUGUAAAGAAACUAAAGAGGUGACUGGAGCAGUUAAUAAACCCCAGAGGAACAGAUCCAUUCCGCCAACAAAGUCUUUUGUGUUCUGUGUACCGAACACUUAAAACAUGUAUUUUAAUGUCAAAAGGUUUGUAGCCUAACGCAGUUCUCAUCUACACGAUUACAUCGAAGACCUGAUGCAACUUGAGGUCCAACAGAUGGAGGGGGCCCUUCAGUUCAAGCGGAUGAAACGGAAUUUUACUACCUAAACUGCGUGGAGCUCUGCCAAGCUGUCCUGGAAGAGUCACCAGAGUGUUCUUAACAGAAGACAUUCCUGCUUUAAGCUCUGGAUUCCUACAGCUGGCCAGUGAGGGUAUCAGGCUUUCAUUUUGCAGUUAAAAGCACAGAAUUGUGUAAAAGUGAAAAGCACUUCAGGCAAUGACUAUAGUCUUGUUUCAAUUAUUUUUAUAUUGAGAGAAAAAGUAGAGUGAAAAAGCACAAGUAGACAGCAAAUGAAGUAGAGGGAAAGCCGUACAGAGCAUAAGACAUUCACAUACUCAGAAACCAAGAAGAAAGCAAAGCAGGAGCUACUAUUGACUGGUUCAUUUCAGACAGACUAAAUGUCAGGCGGAAAAGUGUUCAGCUCAAAAUAAAAACCCAGAAUUCUAUCCUGGAGUAGUUUUUGUUUUUUAAAUCCUUAUGGAUACUUGGUGAAAGAAAAACAAACAAACAAACCACAUACUUGCUGAGAAAUACAAAAAGGUAUAAUAAGGAGUAUAAUAAACUGUUAAAGCUUUCCUUCAACUGUUUCUAUUUCAUUUCAGGAAAAAAAAAAUCUUAGCAGACAGAUAAAUCCCUUACAUUUAUACAAAAGGGCUCAAAAGCUCACCGUGCACACUGUAUUUCACCUUGCUUUUUGCACUCAACAGGAAGCUUCUGGAGAGAUCUCCUGAUCGGUGCUUAUAGGUCUCUUUUAUUUUUUGGAAUGGGUUAUGCAGAAUUUUGUUGGUGACUCUUUCCAGCACUCUAUCUCACAUGCUGAACAACAAAGGGGUUGCUUUUGAUAAAGCAUGACUCAAGCUUCCAAACAAACUAUGCAGAUCACUCUGUUUUUUAAAGUAAAACUUUAAGGGACCUUGAAUUUAAAUGGUGAUUGAGCAAGAGAACAUGAAAAUAAACGAAAACCUUCAAAGGACUGGAUAGUGGAAAUAACUCUUUUUUUCCCCUGAGUGGGCCUGAGAGGCUGGGGGCAUCUACGCCUUCCUGGUGUGGCUCCACCCCUCGAGUAAGAACACUAGGAUGACCUAAAGACAAAACGAGUUUCGGCACGCAGCACCAUCGGCACUCGCAGGCACACUGGGAGAGCCCGGAGCAGGGGAGGUGGAAGGAGGGCCCGGUGGGUGCUGGCCCUCCCCUGUGGCCUGCUGCAGCACCUUGCUGGUGUGUGAUAUCGGAAAAGUGACAGGAUUUACUUUCAGUUUGAGACCCAUGACUCAUUCCUUCUACAUGCUCUCGAUUCUGGCCCUAUUUAUAGUAUGAAAAAAGAAGGAGGCGUUUCUGCUGUGGCCCAAUGGGAUUAGUGGCAUCUUGGGAGCACUGGGACACAGGUUCAAUCCCCCACCUGGCACGGUGGGUUACGGAUCAGGCAUCACUGCAGCUGUGGCACAAACCCCAACCACGGCUCCGAUCUGAUCCCUGGCCCAGGGAAUUCCAUGCGCCAUGGGGCGGCCAAAAGAGGAAAGAAAAAAAAAAAGAAGCAGACACGAGGCAGGGAACAUAGAAGCCCACAUCCUUUCAGUUCUACUGUCAAAUGAUGAAUAAUUACUCACUUUCAUUAAGCUGUUUUCUUUCCAAGAAUAAUAUAAGCUUUGUGUCAUCUCAAAAUGGUUUUUCCUGCUUUUCAACAGUUUAGAAAAUAUUAUUUCAAAGUACUUUUUCUUUUCUCCCGGGCUCCAGGUUGUAAUUCCACGAUAGCACACUUUAGUAAAAUAAUUUAGACUUAGAGUUCAAGAAAACGCUAUGUGAGGGGCAGGUACCCCACGGUGGCACAGCUGGACAGUGGCAGAGCUGGACGGUGGCAGAGUUUACUCCCCUCUCUCCCUGUUUGGCCGGGAGACGGGUCAGUCCUCCCCUCAGAAGCUGGGCGGGCUUUUGGUGAGAGACCGGUAACACUACAGGCCUGAGAUGCAUCUACGGCUGGAGCAGAAGGAAGCUUUCCUCUCCCCGGAGCAGCCGUGGGAGGAGGUGCUGCCCUCCCCUCUCUCAGAAAUCACCCACCAGCGUACACCCGCCGGUCACGGAACAGGCCCCCCACUAAGGCAGGGCUGGCGUUUCGGUCCCAGCUCCACAGGGGAGGAAGAGCGCUCCGGGGUGGGGGUGGGGGAGCCUGGUCACGGGCAGAGGUAAGACGGGGCCCCUGCGCCUCUGGCAAUGCCCAAUACUGUGCUCAUCUGCCAAGGUCACACCUUCCAGCGACACAGGUGUGCAUGUAAGACCUUCACACACGCGAGGAAGCUGGGACCUGGGGCUGCAGGAGCCUUGAGUCAGGUCGGCAGACUCAGACCUGGAGGUGGAGGGCUGGUCCCAGCCGGCAGCACGGAGCCAGCGCCAGGGCGGAAGCCAGUUCUCCGCACUGUCCCGGCCGCGUCUCUCCUGCCGCUGCUUUCUCCUCUGGCUCAUGCUGCCAGCGCGAGAAGCCUGUUUCCAAAGGGGCUGCUGCGCCGUGGUGACAGUGCUGGCUGUGUCUAAGCUCUGAGAGAAAUGAACCCCCUUCUCUGACCCUGUGCGCCGCCAGUGAGCCUGGGCGACCGGUGUGAGCACCUCCCCUCUGGCUGACGGGGGUCCUGCUAGGGUGGCGGACAGUGAAGACUCACCUCUUCUACCCUGAGCAGAGCACAGACACCAAGCGAUUCUGCCUGACAGCAGGAUUUUACGGUAGUGACACCAUCCUGUGACCCACUUUACUCCCGCUCCUUACGUCUCGGUUAUAAGCAGUAAUUAGUAAUGGCAGUGUUCUGGCUGGAUGGCUCCGGGGCCAUUAAUAAUGCAAAAGCCGGAAGAGGAUGAAUGCCGGAGUGUACGACGGAGGUUUCAAGGUUAAAAGCAGCAAUGGAGAGAGCUGGGGGCGCAGGUGAUGUUGGCAGAAGAGGAGAGAGAGAGAGAGAGAGGGAGGGAGGGAGGGAGGGAGAAGGAGGAUGGGGUGGAAAGAGGUGCCGGGGAGUUAGUCUUAAAUCUCUGUUUGAAAAUGUCCAGCUGCCCUUCGGGAGCAGCAGGUACGGCGAAGCACAACUUCUCAGGGGCCGUAAUCGAGCGGAGGGCGGCUGCUGCUCUCCCUUGCGGUGCACACAAGCCUCUGGCCAUUGGCGGAAGGGUGGCACUGCUGAGCCUCCAGCGUGGAAGAGCUACCAGUGUAUCCAACUGAGGCCAGAGGAAACCAUCCGUAUCUUUCAAACGUAUUCUUGGUGUUUUCUUUAUUUUUAAAAUUGUGUCUUUUUAGGACCACACCCGAGGCAUAUGGAGGUUCCCAGGCUAGAGGCUGAAUCGGAGCUGUAGCCACUGGCCUACGCCCCAGCUCACGGCAACACCUGAUCCUUAACCCACUGAGCGCGGUCAGGAAUCUGCAUCCUCAUAGAUGCCAGUCAGAUUCAUUUCUGCUAAGCCACAAUGGGAAGUCCCUAUUUUUGGUGUUUUAAAUGACUUCUCUUAUAAAAGGCAAUGCCUGCUUGUUCAGCAGAACUAAUACCUUCCCACUUUAGCUUUUACAGGGAACUCAAGACAAGUGAUGCAGAAAGGUCCGGGUCUGGCAGCCGGGCAUUCCUUCAGCACAAGACACAGACUACACUGUCACAACUGCCUCCCCAUCUCUGCAAAUCUCCAUCCCACUGUGUUUCCAAGGGGGAUUUCAAAAGGUACACGUCGGCACGCAUCUCCUCCUCCUCCCCUCAUUGAGACCCAAACACAAGCCUACAUCUUGUAAAUACCCACUCUUCUACACCUCGCUUUGUUUGAUGGGCACAACUGGACUCGUGUCAUUCUUCAUGCUGUGGUGUACUGGCUCAGGAGGCCAAUCUGGUCUGCCGCUUCUUUCUAUCAGCAAGAUUCCUGGAAGCGAUUUUUAUCCCCUUAGGAAUGUGCACAGUUCAGUUCCAGCAUUUGCUAUGAAAUCAGACGUGCAGUUAGAGCUAAGGCCCUUCCUACACUCGUCUCUUUGAAUGUCAAUCCCCGAGAGGUCAAUCCUUUUGGAUAGAGAUUAAAAAAAAAAUCAAUGAGAAGCCCAAGAAGAGGGACACAGCAGUGCUGCAGACCAGGCCACCGAGACACAGAGAGCAAACCCACGAGCGGCCUUGGACUCCGCUCUCCCCAGGGCAGACAGCGUCCUUCUCUGAACUUGGACAUGUGGGCUGAAGUGACAGUGGUCAUGUCUUACAGAACAUACCGGUGAACUCCCGGCUCUGGCGGUAGCAGCCCUGACAAACCUGGGAGAGGUUCCUCCUUCCUAGGAGUUUCCUAGGAGUUCCUCUCCUUACCUGAGCCCGCACUGCCCUGCACACACUGUCGGCAUCAGGCUCCGCGUCUCUCGUUGGGGCAGCUGCUGUUUACCGACUGAGGAAGUGCCGGGUGGUGGAGUGGGCACUUCAGCUA